GGGAUCUCUUCAGCCCAGGAAUUUAAGGCUUCAGUGAGCUAAGAUUGGGCCAUUGCACUCCAGCCAGGGCAACAGACCAAGACCCAGUCUCAAAAUAAAUAAAUAAAAAUGAAAGAAAGCAGUGCACUGAAAAUCAAUUUAAGUAUUUACUGGAGUUGUCUUGAAGGCCCAAUGGGAAAUGUCAGUAAGGGCACAUGAGAAAACACUUUAAGAACCUAUUCUUCCAAAGAUCUUUCCAGUAUCUUAUGACAACACAGUAAAUUAUACCCACUCCAAAUGCAAAAGCUGAAACUACUCUGCUUUCUCACUUACCUACACUUUUGACUUUCGAAAUACAUUUCUCUCUUCGGAUAUGAGCUGCAAACUCCUUAUAUAAAGGCUCCAACUCUGCAGCCC
rnacentral:lncRNA from 10 species